GGGUAGAAUCUGUAAAGCUCAGGAGGGAUAGCGCCAUGAAGAACAAAGGGUCUUAAUUGUAAUUUGUUAUUCAUUGGCGCUAUCCAUCCUGGGUUUCAUCGCUUCUUCUU
rnacentral:pre_miRNA from 1 species